UGUAACAGUGUUUAGGUUGUAGAAUCCCACUUGCUUUAUGUAUCAGUGCAAUGGGGAAAUAGCGCCCCCCCUCUCUGUGUGGCUGGUUAUAUGCUGCUGGCUCCUGCACUCAGUGCCAGUCUGUGAAAGCUGCACAAGAGUGUGCUGAUUGAAGCUGAGCCGUUGCACUGAUUCCAACCCGAUAUGUUCUCAUUCAGGAAAUAAACUGCAGAUCACCCAGAAACUCCUUGUC